UGCGGUGGUGUAGAGGUUGGGUGAGAACGGGAAGUGUUUCAUCAUUAUCAAGCAGACUCAUCCCCAGCAACGUCAAGCUGCAAAAGGAAAGGGCAGUCCGCCAUUCCUUCAUGCUCGAAGGUCACGGAGAUCAAUACGUGAAACGUGUUAUGCAGUGGUGUAGAGGUUGGACCCAUCCCCAGCAACGUCAACCUAAAGAAGAAAAGGCCAG